UUGGACCUGAUAUCAGGCAAGAUUACCCGCUGAACUUUAAGCAUAUCA
rnacentral:rRNA from 1 species